rfam:Triticum aestivum genome assembly, contig: Triticum_aestivum_CS42_TGACv1_scaffold_328624_4BS
AUGACUCUCCCUCCGUAUGAAAAUACUUGUCAUCAAAAUGGACAAAAAAUGAUGUAUUUAGAACUAAAAUAAAUCUAGAUACAUCCUAUUUUAUUCAUUUUGAUGAUAAGUAUUUUCGGACAGAGGGAGUACAUC